AAAUAGUUUUGAUAUGGCGCCGACGACAGAGGGUAUGGAUGAAAAAGCACAGAGAAAUGUUAUCGUGUUCAAUCAGUCAAAGAAUGAGAUCUUCUCUCCCGGUAAUGGUCUGAAAACGCUAAACCGAAAGUUACGUUCAACAUGGAAGAUUCAAACUAACAAAGCAGAAAUAACUCCAGAGACUCUAUCCUCUGUCAGCAUAUUUGUAAUAUGUGGCAGCAGAGAAAAGUACACAGGUUCAGAGUUGGAAUCAAUCAAGCGUUACAUUGAUGGAGGAGGUAGUGUGUUGGUUCUCCUUGGUGAGGGAGGAGAAACAAGAUUCGAAACCAACAUCAACUUUCUGCUGGAAGAGUAUGGAAUUAUGAUAAAUAAUGAUGCAGUAGUGAGAACCUCAUAUUACAAAUAUUUUCAUCCAAAAGAGGCAUUGAUAGCAAAUGGUGUAUUAAAUAGAGCAGUAAGUCAGGCUGCUGGGAAGACAUUUUCAGUUGAGGAAGAUGGAAACAAUGCUCAGGCAUUGUCCUUCUUGUACCCCUAUGGAGCCACAUUGAAUGUGAUGAAGCCAUCCACUGCUCUGCUGUCAACUGGAUCUGUGUCCUUUCCUCUCAACAGACCAGUCUGUGCCCUCUAUGAAAACAGGAACCACGGCAAAUUGGUGGUGUUAGGAUCAUGUCACAUGUUCAGUGAUCAGUACAUAGACAAAGAGGAAAACAGCAAAGUUCUCGAUGUACUUAUCAGAACUUUGACAUCAGAUGAAAUUAAACUAAACCCAAUUGAUGCUGAGGACCCAGAAAUCUCUGAUUACAACAUGCUGCCAGACAUAGCUAAGCUAGCUGGCCAGCUGAAGACCUGCCUCCAGGAGAGUGACGAUGUUCCCCGAGUCCCUGACUCUCAUCACCCCUCAGUUUGAGACUCCUUUACCCCCCCUACAACCAGCGGUGUUUCCUCCCCAGUUCCGAGAACUGGAACCACCAAAGUUAGAUCUGUUUGAUCUGGAUGAGCAGUUCUCUUCAGAGAAAGUCAGGAUAGCCCAACAGACAAACAAAUGCUCAGAUGAUGACCUUGAGUACUAUGUUCGGGAAUGUGGUGACAUUCUUGGUGUUACAUCAAACUUACCUCAGGAUUCGAGGGAUGCAAAACAUAUCCUAGAAUACAUUUUUACCCAUGUUGUGGAAUUCAAGAAGUUGAAUCAGGAACAAGAUUAUGAUACCACUCAGUUUGGAGGUGGAGGAGGAUAUGGCCAAUAUUAACAAUGACAGGUGCCCUAUGGGGAGAAUGUGACAUGUGACAAUAUGUUGGUGAAAUCCCAGCGCAGACUCCAGUGGUAGUGGUAGACUCUCUGUGAUAACCGUGGUUGUGUAAUUUAUGUGCUUUACAAAUCAGAUCUGACUAUUGAAGAUUCAUUCAUGCAGUUCUUUGGAUUACAAUGAUAACUAGAGAAUUUCUUUGGUAGAUAUUACUUUUUCCAUUUCAUGACAACAGCAUGGAGUACAAAUUUUAUUUGUGAGAAUUAUGACAAAUAUUUAUCAAAUUUUUAAUUAAAUUCUGUCAAAGU
rnacentral:misc_RNA from 1 species